rnacentral:rRNA from 1 species
UAUUAACUAUUGUUUUUUAUAAUAAAAAUUAAUUUAAUUUAAAUUUCCUUAAAUAAUAAUUUUAAAACUGAAAAGGAUUUUUUAGUAAAAAAAAAAAAGAAAAAAAAUUUACCUUUGGCAUUAGGGAUUUUCCAAAAAAAAAAAAAAUUUUAUUUUCCCGAAAUAAUUUGAGCUAAAAUCGUAAAUUAAUUUAUAUUUCAAUAUAAAUAAAAUUCAAUUUUAGAUGUGAAAUUCUUUUCAAAAAUUAAGAUAUCUGGUUAAUUAAACGUAUACUUUAAGUAUUUCUAUAAAUAAAAUUAAUGUAAAAUUUUAUAGAAAAUUAAUUUUGGGAUAAGCUAAAAUUAUAAAUUUAAAUCUUUAAAGUAGGAAACAAAAAGAUUAAAAUUUUCUUUUCUAUUUUCAUAAAUAUGUUUACUUUAAAAGUUAAAAUAUUUAAUAAAUUUAAUAAAUUUAAUUUAAAAUUUAAAUAAAAAUGAAAGUAUUAGUAAAAGUUUAAUUAAAUUAAUAAUUUAAUAUUUAAAAUUCAACAGAAAAAUAAUUUUUAGGAAUUCAGCAAAAAAUUUUUUUAACUGUUUAAUAAAAACAUUUCAUUUAGCUAAGGUCAUUAAAUGUAAUUUCUGCUCAAUGAAAAUUUUUAAUUGCUGUAGUAUUUUGACUAUACAAAGGUAUUGUAAUAAGAUUUUAAUUGAAUGCUAAGAGAAUGGAAAUUUAAAAAAAGGCUUUUUUAAAAAUAAAAAUUGAAUUUUUUUUAAUUUGUGCAAAAACAAUUAUUUCUAUUAAAGACAAGAAGACCCUAAGAAUUUAUGAUUUUACAAUAAAAAAAAUUUUAUUUUAAAAUCUUGAUUGGGGCGAUCAAAAAAUAUUAAUAACUUUUAAAAAUUUAAACUGAUCUAUUAUUAAUAAACUAAUGAAUUAAAUACUCUAGGGAUAACAGCGUAAUAAUUUUCGAUAGAUCUUAUUGACAAAAUAGUUUGCGACCUCGAUGUUGGAUUAGGAUUCUUUUUUAAUGAAGAAGUUAAAAAAAGAAGUUUGUUCAACUUUUAAAUUCCUACAUGAUCUGAGUUUAGACCGAUGAGAAUCAGGUUGGAUUCUAUCUUAAUAAAAAAAAUUUUUUAGUUAGUACGAAAGGAAUUCUAAAAUUUAAUUAUUAAGGUAAACAACUUUAUUUGCAUCAAUUUUUGUAAUU